UCCGUAGGUGAACCUGCGGAGGGAUCAUUACGAGUUUACAACUCCCAAACCCCUGUGAACAUACCUUAAUGUUGCCUCGGCGGAUCAGCCCGCGCCCCGUAAAGCGGGACGGCCCAGCCAGAGGACCCAAACUCUAAUGUUUCUUAUUGUAACUUCUGAGUAAAACAAACAAAUAAAUCAAAACUUUCAACAACGGAUCUCUUGGUUCUGGCAUCGAUGAAGAACGCAGCAAAAUGCGAUAAGUAAUGUGAAUUGCAGAAUUCAGUGAAUCAUCGAAUCUUUGAACGCACAUUGCGCCCGCUGGUAUUCCGGCGGGCAUGCCUGUUCGAGCGUCAUUUCAACCCUCAAGCCCCCGGGUUUGGUGUUGGGGAUCGGCUCUGCCUUCUGGCGGUGCCGCCCCCGAAAUACAUUGGCGGUCAUGGCUGCAGCCUCCAUUGCGUAGUAGCUAACACCUCGCAUUCUGAACGCGGCGCGGCCAUGCCGUAAAACCCCAACUUCUGAAUGUUGACCUCGGAUCAGGUA
rnacentral:rRNA from 1 species